AUUGAACGCUGGCGGCAGGCCUAACACAUGCAAGUCGAACGAGUGGCGGACGGGUGAGUAAUGUCUGGGAAAGUGCCUGACGGAGGGGGAUAACUAGUGGAACCGGUAGCUAAUACCGCAUACCAUCAGCUGUGCUCAGAUGGGAUUGGCUGGUUGGUGGGGUAACGGCUCACCAAGGCGACGCUCCCUAGCUGGUCUGAGAGGAUGACCAGACAAACGGGAACUGAGACGCGGUCCGGACUCGUAGGGGAGGAAGCAGAGGGGAUUAGUGCACAAUGGGGUGUAGCCUGAUGCAGCGCUUCGGAGUGUGUGAACAAGGCCUUCGGGAUGUAAAGUACUUUCGGCCGAGAGGCGUUACCUGCAUGAGUAGCACCGGCUAACGCCGUGCCAGCAGCCGCGGUAAUUC
rnacentral:rRNA from 1 species